GCACUAUAGUGUAGUGGCAAUCACUCAGGAUUUUGACAUGAUAGUUUCCUGAAACCCAGGUUCGAAUCCUGCGCCUUUGGAGUA